AUGAACGCUAGCUACAGGCUUAACACAUGCAAGUCGAGGGGAAACGGCAUCGAAAGCUUGCUUUUGAUGGGCGUCGACCGGCGCACGGGUGAGUAACGCGUAUCCAACCUGCCCAUCACUUGGGAAUAACCUUGCGAAAGUAAGACUAAUGCCCAAUGACAUCCCACGAAGGCAUCCGAAUGGGAUUAAAGAUUUAUCGGUGAUGGAUGGGGAUGCGUCUGAUUAGCUUGUUGGCGGGGUGACGGCCCACCAAGGCAACGAUCAGUAGGGGUUCUGAGAGGAAGGUCCCCCACAUUGGAACUGAGACACGGUCCAAACUCCUACGGGAGGCAGCAGUGAGGAAUAUUGGUCAAUGGGCGAGAGCCUGAACCAGCCAAGUAGCGUGCAGGAUGACGGCCCUAGGGGUUGUAAACUGCUUUUAUAAGGGAAUAAAGUGGGUCACGUGUGACUUUUUGCAUGUACCUUAUGAAUAAGGACCGGCUAAUUCCGUG
rnacentral:rRNA from 1 species